GUGGGUCGGUCUCAGAUCUUCCUGGUCAGUCCAGACACUAAGAAGGUUGCCAUAGAGAAGAGCUUCAGAGAAAUAUCUUUCUGCUCACAGGGUAUUCAUCAUGUGGAUCACUUUGGGUUCAUCUGUAGAGAGACAGUAGAAGGAGGGAGCUGUACGUUCGUCUGCUAUGUCUUCCAGUGUACUGAUGAAUCCCUGGUAAGACGGACAGAGAGAUGUUCAACACUGACAGACAGACGGAUGGAUUGAACUGAUCACUCUCUCUGCCUGUCUGUCUGCCUCUGCAUGUCUGUCUGUCUCUCUCUCUGCCUGUCUGUCUGUCUCUCCUCUGCCUGUCUGUCUGUCUCUCUCUCUACCUGUCUGUCUGUCUGUCUGUCUGUCUGUCUGUCUCUCUCUCUGCCUCUCUGUUGCCUCUCUGCCUGUCUGUCUCUCUCUCUGCCUCUCUGUCUGUCUGCUUCUCUGUCUGCCUGCCUACCCGCCUGUCUGCUCUUUCAGGUGGAUGAGAUCAUGUUGACUUAAAGCAGGCGUUCUCUGUGGCCGCCCUGCAGCAGAGUGUAAGGACCAGGAGCCAGCAGUGUGACAGUUGCCCCAUGCAGCAGCUGCACAGGCUGUGUGAGAGGAUAGAAGGUAGGAAACUGGUCCUGCCGGCCGUGUCAAAACACACUGUUAUGCCCACAGUCACACACAUUCAAGGUGCUGUUCAGUUUCAAUGGAGGGAAGUUCACCUGUGUCUCUGUGUGGUGUGUGUCUGUGUGGUGUGUGUCUGUGUGGUGUGUGUCUGUGUGGUGUGUGUCUGUGUGUCUGUGUGGUGUGUGUCUGUGUGUGUGUGUGUCUGUGUGUCUGUGUGUGUGUCUGUGUGUGUCUGUGUGUGUGUGUGUGUGUGUGUGUUUGUGUGUGUGUGUGUGUUUGUGUGUGUGUGUGUGUGUGUGUGUGUGUGUGUGUGUGUGUGUGUGUGGUCUCCAGGUCUCCUCCCGUCUAAAGCCAAGCUGGAGUUUCAGAAACAUCUGGCCACACUGGACAACCCAGGAACAAGCUGCUGUGUUCGAGAGCACUGUGAGGGCCAGUCCUAA
rnacentral:lncRNA from 1 species